rnacentral:sRNA from 1 species
CUGGGUUUUUUGUUUUCUAGGAGUUGGCCUGGGCCCUGCCCUGGAGUUUUGUAUUACCGUCAACCCCAGCAUCCUUCCCACUGCUUUCAUGGGCACAGCAAUGAUCUUCACCUGCUUCACCCUCAGUGCACUCUAUGCCAGGCGCCGUAGCUACCUCUUUCUGGGAGGUAUCUUGAUGUCAGCCCUGAGCCUGUUGCUUUUGUCUUCCCUGGGGAAUGUUUUCUUUGGAUCCAUUUGGCUUUUCCAGGCAAACCUGUAUGUGGGACUGGUGGUCAUGUGUGGCUUUGUCCUUUUUGAUACUCAACUCAUUAUUGAAAAGGCCGAACAUGGAGAUCAAGAUUAUAUCUGGCACUGCAUUGAUCUCUUCUUAGAUUUCAUUACUCUCUUCAGAAAACUCAUGAUGAUCCUGGCCAUGAAUGAAAAGGUUA